rnacentral:lncRNA from 1 species
UAAAAAGCAUGGUUGAAAAAGAAUCUAUUAAAAAUCCUGCUUGGCAAAUCCCUAUAUCCAUCCUCCAGAAGUUUGGAUGUAUAAAACAUCUUAAAGGUUCAGACAGUUUCAAUGUGAGUCUUCAAAGACAAUGCAUUGGUUUCAGACAUUAUGAAUCUUGUUCUCACAGUUGCAAAAUGGCUGAUGGGCCUCUACCAACAUGUCCAUAUUCCAUGCAGACAUAA